AGGGCACAAUUAAUUGUCCAAGGAGCAGUGCAGAUACUGUACAAUGUGAGCAAUCUGUUAAAGAAAACCCUGAGCGUUGGGAUGAUCAGGAUGGGACGGNGGUAGAUGAGGGUUGGAGUGGGGCUGUCCGGAAUGCAAAGCAAUGUAAGACAUUCCGGCCCAGGGGAAGAGACUGGCAAAGAAGAUUCAGGGGAGGUUUGAGGGGUGCUGGGCUUGGGACACUGGGCCUGUCUGAGAUGGAGACAUUCAAAAGCUCUCCUGGAAACGGAGAAGAGUCCUUGCCGACUUUCAAGACAAGAGUUCACCACUUUAAGUGGUGCUUUAAGAAGAUGAUCUCAUAGCAGUGUUUGGUGUGGUCAGAAGUAGGAGAGUCAAGAAAGGAGAGGUCAGUUGGGGGCUAUGCAGAGACGGAAAGGCUGGGAGGCUGCGUCAGGCAAAGCCUGGCCUAACAGUGGGUUCCCAUUUGGCCCUUUCAAAUAUUCCAUGGCCCAGCCAGCUGUCCAAGCUGUCCAGAGGGAGGAUUGGACACCGGGCUCCAAAUUCCUGCUCGUGCCUGGAAAUGAAUACUUCUGGUGCCUAAGAGGAGCCUGGAGAAUAGAACAAAACCCCAGGAAAGUUUGCUUCCCAUCUGCAGCCCACAAGGCCAGCAGCCCGCCCACCAUUGUGGAAAGGGAGGAUUAAUGAGCUGCAGAUCAUCCAAGGCCCAGCCUUACAUGAUUCAUUUUUCUUGGGAAUGGCUGAGGUCCUAUGCUCCCUCUCUAACCCCAAGUGCCAUCCUGGGCUUAGAUCUGGACAGACCCAGGGCUGGUCACUGCAGCCAACAUCCACAUGAUGGUGGAGGAGGCGCUGCCUUGUCUCUGCUGAGGGCUAAUCACAAGUGGCCUGGGCACCCAUUCCAGAUGGCAUCCGUUAGCCCCCCGAGCCCAGCUCUCUGGCACUCGUCACAGUGCAGAAAACCAAACAAUAGGGUAUCUUUUUAUUUUUUCUCCCCUUUCUGAAUUUGAAAGCAACAGGAGUUUUUCUCUAACAUCAAACAAUUAAAUUUCUGAGUUAGAAAAGUCAUAAGAAUUUUUAUUUGUUCUAUCCGUGCUCCACUCCUAGUUCAGCAUCUUCUCAACUUGGGCUUCUCUUUAGAACUGAGGUGCUCUUUCUUAUUUUCCUGGAUGGCUUAUAAUUUAUUCUACUAUCUAGUAAUGCGUUCCCAGGACCCCCUGCUGUGAAAGAAACGUUUCUUGAUUUUUUAUAUCAAAUACCACGCGUAGAAUGAGGAUCACCUUCUACCGGUGGGAAAAUAAGAUAUUGGUGGGGGGUGGGGGUGUUCUUUUUCUUUUUUAUUGAAAAUGUUGAAACAUAAACCCAGAUCUUUUCCAUAUUUCUACUCAACUGAUAAAAAAGGGAUUUCUACAAAAUAUAUGGGUCCAUACUGUUCCAAAAGGCCUCUAAUUGACUUGGUGCCAUGCACAUCACCCCAUUCCUGAUUGUCCUGUAUUGUCUGACGUAGUUUGCCACUUCAUCCUUAUUUUCUAGUCCCUAGGAACAGUGGGUGUUAUCUCCCAAAUGUCACAUCUUAAGAGCACAGCCCAGCAGGGGCUGAGAAGUGUUCUAAAAAGCUUGUUUAAUAAUCACCCCUAAUGGAUGUUUGAAAAUAAAUCUGCUUUUCUUCAGGAACAAUCUUGCUGUCUCUCACCCGCCACGCACUCCCCCCACACCACCAACUGGGAAACACUCCCAGUUGUGACACACUCUUAUCUUUGUCACUGCAGCCUCCAGGUCUACUGGGUCAUGAGAAUGCCCAGAGCCUACUUAGUUACCCUAACUGAUGCCUAAGCAGUAGCCCAUAUACCACAUCUUUCUCUGCGUGCUUCGCCCCGCCAGUGGGGACCCAAGAACCCAGAAUUCUGGAGUUGCAUUUAUUUCCAGAUUGAGAAACUCAGUUCUAGAAAAAGCAAGGUGAGCACCUGCAUUUUUGCUGCUGUUUGGUCCAUUGAUGUGUUCCUUUGAUUCUGCUUCUUCCUAACUUUCUUUUGGAAAAAUAUCUUUUUACACAUUUCCAGAAUUUAUGGUUCUGUAAGUGUUCAUUCAACUCUCAUGCUCCAGAGGACAGAAUACAACCCAGGCCCAGCCAGUUCUCUUCUUUGGUUUCAGUAAUCGACCUAGGAGGUAGAUGUAUGACCCAAGCCAAGCCAGAGUGUCAUUCUCAGGAUUUUGGCUAGAACUCUUAUGAAAGAGAUACUGUUUUUUUCUGUUUUAGUUUUUUGUCUUUUUAGGGCUGCACCUGAGGCAUAAGGAGGUUCCCAGGCUAGGGGUCGAAUCGGAGCUGUAACCACCGGCCUACAACACAGCCACAGCGACAUGGGAUCCGAGCCCCAUCUGCGACCUAUACCACAGCUCACGGCAACGCUGAAUCCUUAACCCACUGAGUGAGUGGAUCCUAAUCUGGUUCAUUAACCACUGAACCAAGAUGGGAACUCCACGGAAAAAGACACUGUUUUUGUACUAGGUUUGAAUGCUGAUAGAUUGUAAGCAUGGGGCUUCUGAAGACACAUCCUGUCAUCAAAAGAGGAGAACCUUCUGGAGUACCAAGAGAAGUAAGCAGAGGGGAAAAGUAGAGAGACACAGGUGUCCGAAGCCAUUGUUUGAGCCCCUAGAGCUAGCUGUUCCUGAAGCCGACAGUGCCUGAACUUUUCAAUUAUAUUAGCCAACAGAGCUCCCUUUCUUGCUUAAGGCAGUUUGAGCAAAGCUACUGUCCUUGAAGAACCUUUCCCACCUCCUUGGUACCUUGAGCCUAUUGUUAAUGGAGGGCUUCCUGGUUAUAAUGAUGUGCUGAAACCCAGGAAUGGAUUGAUUCAUCCCUGUUUAUCCGCUGAUUAAUACACAAGAUAGAACUAUGUAGCAUUCGUGAACACUACCAUCAUUUCCAACUUAUAUGAAUCAAUAUUCUUAGUCUCUUCUUUCCUAAACAUGACAGAGUAAUGAUCAAGAAGCAAAAUUUACAGAUGGCUUUCCUGUGUGGGGACAGACUAAUAAUGAAAGGUCUAAAUGUGAAAAGCAGUCAUAUAGGACCUGUCUGAUGCACAAAACUGGUAUUGAGUCCCCAGAAGGGUAAUCAUGGAAGGCAGCUAUGCUCACCACUGUACCACCAACGCUGCACUCAAAAGGGUGAUCAUGGACACAUUAUCUGCAAUCCAAGUGAAGCCCUUCUUCAGAAAGAGCCAAUCAGGGCCAGGGAAAAGGACUUCCUGGGACAACGUUAUUUCUGUCCCAGAGAACUAAAGGCUGUGUUUAUCAGUUAACAGAACCCAAACAAAAAUCAUAAGCUUUGAAAUUAGGCAGACUUGUAUUUAACCCCCAAAGUUGGUAGCUUUUUGGUUCUGUGAAAUCUCGGGAGUUUUUCUUGACCUUGGUUUUCUCACCCAGAAAUGGGACUAAUACUACCUAUCUCAUAUGUUAUUGAGGGUAUUCAAUUUUAUAAAUCCGAGUACAUUUUCUGGUCACUAGCAUAGAGUCAGCAAUCAAUAAUUGAUAGCCAUCAUUAGAAUAAUUAUUAGUAAUAAUAAUUAUGAUAAUAAAAGGGGCAGUAGGAGUUUUCUCACUCCUAUUUAAAUUUCUAUUUAAAUUUCAUGUGUGUAGUAUAACUGGAAGGUUUAGGCCUAAAAAACAACAUUUAGAAUUUUAACCAUAGAUAGGCUGUGUUGACCUCUUAGACUGGUAUGCAAGGAUGAGGGAAGCAAAGAGAUGGAAGAAGGAGGUUUGGGCAAUUCUGUUGAGGCCAAUACAAAAUACCUUGAAUAAGCCUAACUUCUCAAACACUUUUAUAGGAUUUUGUAUGCUGAUCUCUGCUUAUUCUCAAUUCGGACAAAAUGUCACAUUUGAAAUAAUGCUAGCAGAUCUCUUUAAUUGUUGAAUUAUAUAAUCUUUAUUAAAAGAUAAAAGCUAAUACAUUCCAUUUAUUUGUUCAGCAUCUACAAAUGGCAUCCAAAAUGACAUACCACCUUUUUGAAAGAAGAGUUUUGAAAAUGAAAUCUAGACUACCCCAUUUUAAAAAUGGGUAUUAAUAUGGAAAGAAAAUGAAAGAUAAAAUAAAAACUGAAAAAAAAUACUGUCAUAAUAAUUGAAACAGAAAAACAAAGUAAUGUUCAAUGAAUGUAAAAAUAAUAUAAACAUGUUUAUGAUUAUAGUUCAUUCAGACCCUGAUAACUGGGUCUCAAAUGGUUUUACAGGGUCGAGUCUCUUUUAAAACGAGAUCUGGAUCCUUUGGGAAUAAAGGAAAAGAAAAGAGGCUUCCCCACCCCAUUUAGGAGCUGAGGCAGGUAGCUCUUCUCUUUGGUGCUGUGUUGGGCUCUUUGCCCUGAUCCCCAAUCCAAUAUCACCUCAUCGGGGACAUUUUACACUAAUCAACAUAAACCUAGCCAGAGCGAUUGGUUCAGGCAUGGGUAUGGAAAAAAAAAAAUCCUGGUUAAUGAUAGGUUCAGAAUUUUAUUGAAUAUCUUGGGAAGAGAAGCUCACUUUUCUCCACAGGACCCGAAAAUCAGAGGAUGUAUCUACUACUGUCAAAUGCACACGAAGCGUGAGACAAAAGCUGAAUGUAGCAGAAAGCAAAGCCAAGAAAUGCAGAGAAACUGAGUCCUGAUAUUCCCCUUUGAGUCCUGAAUCCAGCUAUUCCUAACCUCGCUCCCUGAACUUUCCAGUAUGUGAAAGCUAAUGAAUUGCCCUUUUGUUUUAGCCAGUUUAGGCUAGGAUUUCAUUAUGUGCAAGUUAAAGUGACCUAAUGAUAGGAAGAUCUGGUAUCAAAAACAAACUAACAAAGUCAAAAAGUAUCUAAGUUUAAAUGAAGCCCAGGCAAAUCAGGAAAAUUUCUAGGCUCAUAGCUGAGAGAUUGAGACCCAGCACAGCAGACUGUCGAACCUAGAAAUGUCCACAGAUUGAUCCAUCAGCUCAAGAUGCAUUAAACAGACAAAUAAAAUAUCUGAUUCAUGCCGUGUGGCCAGAUCUGUUCAGCUGGGGAGUGCAGAGAGAGAAACUGGAAAAGUAGCAGAAUCCAAGAUGGCAGCUCUGGCAGGAAAAUGGAUUGGACUUUGGGAGGUCUCUUCAGGAAACUAGCUGAGGAGUUUUACAACAUCUGCCCAAUUGGGAAAAGCAAAAGGGUAGUUUGCUAAAUGUUGAACAAGGAUGCUUGCAACAACUGCAUUAUUUAGGCCUUCUGUGAAUUCAAAUAAGAGCCUUUCCCAAACUUGGGAAGGUGCCUUGAGGGCCAGAAAUAAAGGGGUGUGACUCUGCUAGCACACAAGCUGAAAGAACUCAGACAAAUGAGGAAUUGUAGUUUUAUGAAAUGGGGACUGUACAAAGCAGAUGCAUUAGGAAUUUGGAACCAGCUUAAGACAGUACAUUGUUUGUUCAAUUCCUGGUAGAAAUCCUGCCCUGCAAAUUAUUUUUAAUCAUAUAUGGCAACUUCUUUGCCAAAAAAGAACUUUGAUGCAAUGCUAGCAUAAAAAUCACAACAAGCACAGUUCAGAAGAAUCUUGGAACUUAGAAGAUUCCCUCCCAAACCACAGUUAGUCCAGGGCCCAUUCCCGGCAGGGAUGACUGCAGGGUGAUGGCAGAAUGAGAGCCGGGUAGGCAGCAGGGGCAAGAACCAGAUUUUUUUCUUUCUAUUAAGAACUUUGCAUUAGGACGCUAACAUUCUUAUCACUCUGGCGUUUUGGAUUAUCCAGAACUAUUUAAUUCCACUUCUAUUGGGUAAGCAUCAGAAACUUUAAAAAAUGGGACAGAAUUAACCCAGCCCAGUACACAUUCAAAUACCAAGGUUUAAUUCCCUUGAGCAAGACCAUUUGCCAACUACGGAAGACUAGCUCUCCACCUCGGAAGCCAAAGGAAUCAUUCCACACCUUAGCUCCCUCUCAUUCCAUAAGAUGGCUCAUCUGGGUACCAUGUGCUAAGCUAGGCUUAUAGCAGAAAGACAUUUCCAAUACAUUCAAUCCUCACUUUAUAUGGCAAACAGGAGAAGGGGCCUGGCUCCAUGAUAAAAAGCACAGUGGGAAUUCCCAUCAUGGCUCAGUGGUUAACGAACCCAACUAGUAUCCAUGAGGUUGCAGAUUUGAUCCGUGGCCUUGCUCUGGGGGUUACCGAUCCAGUGUUGCUGCGAGCUGUGGUGUAGGUCGAAGACGUGGCUUGGAUCUUGUGUUGCUGUAGACUGGCGGCUACUGCUUCAGUUCAACCCCUAGCCUGGGAACCUCCAUAUGCAGGAGUUGCCAUUGUGGCUCAAUGGGUUAAGAACCCUACAUCGUAUCCGUGAGGUCUUGCUCAGUUGGUUAAGCAUCCAGCUUUGCUGCAAGCUGCAGCAUAGGUCACAAAUGUGGCUCAGACCUCAUGUUGCUGCAGCUGUGCCGUGGCCUCAGCUGCAGCUCUGAUUCAACCCCUAGUCUUGGAUCUUGGCUGUAUGUGUGGCCCUAAAAUGAAAAAAAAAAAAAAAAA
ensembl:lncRNA